UACGUAGGUGGCGAGCGUUGUCCGGAUUUACUGGGCGUAAAGAGCGCGCAGGCGGUCGUUCAAGUCGCGUGUGAAAGCCCCCGGCUCAACUGGGGAGGGUCACGCGAUACUGAUCGACUCGAAGGCAGGAGAGGGAAGUGGAAUUCCCGGUGUAGUGGUGAAAUGCGUAGAUAUCGGGAGGAACACCAGUGGCGAAGGCGGCCAUCUGGCCCAUUUUUGACGCUGAGGCGCGAAAGCGUGGGGAGCAAACAGG
rnacentral:rRNA from 1 species